rnacentral:lncRNA from 1 species
GCACACUAUCGCCUUAGAUAGUGUGCCACCACCCUCUUUGGGCGGUGUGUCGCCGCUUGGGGUGUGCUGCCGCCGAUGGAGGAAAAAUAGUUUCCUCCAUUUUUUGUGGUGUAUCACAUCAUUAUUUUUCAUUAAACACUCUCUCUCUUCAUCAGAUGUUGCCACUUGGCACAAAUUUGAUGGUCUCUCUUAUCUAUAAAUAGGGACCCUUCCUCCCAUUUUUUCAUCACUUCCAUUUCAUUCUUCAAC